rnacentral:sRNA from 1 species
GUGAAGGCAUACUUUCAGGAGUGAGGGUAGAGCGGGGUUUCCCCCGCCCUGGUAGUCUUAGUAAGCCGGGAAGCUUAUGACUAAGAGCACCACGAUGAUGAUCCACUUCAUCAUGACCCUUUCCUUAUU